rnacentral:lncRNA from 1 species
GGCCAACUCCAGCAAACACAGCAAUGUGUGGCUCCUCAUCCUCCCAGAGACAGGAAAGUCAAUCCCAAACCCAGCAGGGACGUCCAGAUGUGCUGGGCUGUGGGAGCAUCACAUCCACCUACCUGAAUUCUCUGGGCUGGGACCUUUACCUGUCCCCUGUGCUGAUGCUGCUGCUCAGGGGCUCUGCACCAGUCCAGGGGGGGUGGCAGCUGUCACCUGUACACACUGCAGAGCCUCCUCGUGGUGCUGGGAGCCACAGAGCUGGGACAGCACAGAUCCAUU